UCAGCUUCUCAGCCUAUUGGUCAAGAUCAAGUGUGUAUCUGUUCUAACAGUUUAAUAUCUGAUACUGUCCCCAUCUGGGAAUCUUGUAUAUUAAAUUGAUUUUUGGGAACAGAGAAUGGAAUAGGGCUUGCUCAUCUAAUCUACCAUCACUCAGUAUUGCAGUGUAUUUCCAGGAGCACUUCCU